GUCCACGCCGUAAACGAUGAGUGCUAGGUGUCACGGGCUUUGACCCUCGUGGUGCCGCAGCUAACGCGUUAAGCACUCCGCCUGGGGAGUACGGCCGCAAGGCUAAAACUCAAAGGAAUUGACGGGGGCCCGCACAAGCGGUGGAGCAUGUUGUUCAAUUCGACGCAACGCGAAGAACCUUACCUGGGCUAGAAAGUACAGGAAUUCGGGCGAAAGUUCGAAGUGCCCUUCGGGGAACCUGUAGUUAGGUGCUGCAUGGCUGUCGU
rnacentral:rRNA from 1 species